AUUGAACGCUGGCGGCAUGCCUUACACAUGCAAGUCGAACGGUAACAGGUCUUCGGAUGCUGACGAGUGGCGAACGGGUGAGUAAUACAUCGGAACGUGCCCGAUCGUGGGGGAUAACGGAGCGAAAGCUUUGCUAAUACCGCAUACGAUCUACGGAUGAAAGCAGGGGACCGCAAGGCCUUGCGCGGACGGAGCGGCCGAUGGCAGAUUAGGUAGUUGGUGGGAUAAAAGUUUACCAAGCCGACGAUCUGUAGCUGGUCUGAGAGGACGACCAGCCACACUGGGACUGAGACACGGCCCAGACUCCUACGGGAGGCAGCAGUGGGGAAUUUUGGACAAUGGGCGAAAGCCUGAUCCAGCCAUGCCGCGUGCAGGAUGAAGGCCUUCGGGUUGUAAACUGCUUUUGUACGGAACGAAAAGACUCUUUCUAAUAAAGAGGGUCCAUGACGGUACCGUAAGAAUAAGCACCGGCUAACUACGUG
rnacentral:rRNA from 1 species